CUAGGUUCAAAAGAAAGAGGAGUGAAGAGGAGUAAAACAUACAUCUAUUAAAAAGCAAGAAGGUUAAAUAAAUGGAAGCUUUUUAUUUUUCUUUCUCUGCCUAAGGGAGAUGCCAUUGCCUUUCAUCAAGAAAACAUGUCAGGAGAUCUAAAUGUAACAAAUACUCCCCCAAAGAAUUGGAACUUCAGCAAUGGGAAGAAGCAGAAGCUCUGUCAAUCUUAACAAAUUAACAGGCAGAUUGGUGGUUGCUGCGUGGUAGAAGCUUGGCUCAUCAGAAAGUUCCAGCCUCCAACCACAGUUGAAACGGCCCACAUCCAUUGGAGCAAAGAAAAGAGGAAUUGGGACUGAAGUCUGGACCUUGUGACUUCCAUGACAGUGUUUCUUCUGCCUGCACCAGAGAGCCAAGGAGACCCCAGGACCCUGGAGGUCUGAGAGCUUUCUCAGAACUGUCUAACUUUUCAGCCACAAGGUAGGUUUAAGGAGAUAUGAUAAUGUGGCCAGCUCCUCGGUGGCUUCUAACCUGUGAUAUUCACU